rnacentral:rRNA from 1 species
GGGGAAUAUUGGACAAUGGGGGCAACCCUGAUCCAGCAAUGCCGCGUGAGUGAUGACGGUCUUCGGAUUGUAAAGCUCUGUCUUUUGGGACGAUAAUGACGGUACCAAAGGAGGAAGCCACGGCUAACUACGUGCCAGCAGCCGCGGUAAUACGUAGGUGGCAAGCGUUGUCCGGAUUUACUGGGCGUAAAGGAUGUGUAGGCGGAUACUUAAGUGAGAUGUGAAAGCCCCGGGCGCAACCUGGGGACUGCAUUUCAAACUGGGUAUCUAGAGUGCAGGAGAGGAAAGCGGAAUUCCUAGUGUAGCGGUGAAAUGCGUAGAGAUUAGGAAGAACAUCAGUGGCGAAGGCGGCUUUCUGGACUGUAACUGACGCUGAGGCAUGAAAGCGUGGGGAGCAAAC